rnacentral:rRNA from 1 species
CGCGCAGGCGGCAUCGCAAGUCGGUCUUAAAAGUGCGGGGCUUAACCCCGUGAGGGGACCGAAACUGUGAAGCUCGAGUGUCGGAGAGGAAAGCGGAAUUCCUAGUGUAGCGGUGAAAUGCGUAGAUAUUAGGAGGAACACCAGUGGCGAAGGCGGUCAACUGGACGAUAACUGACGCUGAGGCGCGAAAGCGUGGGGAGCAAACA